UGGGGAAUAUUGCACAAUGGGCGCAAGCCUGAUGCAGCCAUGCCGCGUGUAUGAAGAAGGCCUUCGGGUUGUAAAGUACUUUCAGUCGGGAGGAAGGUGUCAAGGUUAAUAACCUUGGCAAUUGACGUUACCGACAGAAGAAGCCCCGGCUAACUCCGUGCCAGCAGCCGCGGUAAUACGGAGGGUGCAAGCGUUAAUCGGAAUUACUGGGCGUAAAGCGCACGCAGGCGGUUGAUUGAGUCAGAUGUGAAAUCCCCGGGCUUAACCCGGGAAUUGCAUCUGAUACUGGUCAGCUAGAGUCUUGUAGAGGGGGGUAGAAUUCCAUGUGUAGCGGUGAAAUGCGUAGAGAUGUGGAGGAAUACCGGUGGCGAAGGCGGCCCCCUGGACAAAGACUGACGCUCAGGUGCGAAAGCGUGGGGAGCAAACAGG
rnacentral:rRNA from 1 species